rnacentral:rRNA from 1 species
AUUGAACGCUGGCGGUAUGCUUAACACAUGCAAGUCGAACGAUGAGAAAGAGCUUGCUCUUUCGAUUAGUGGCGGACGGGUGCGUAACGCGUAGGAAUCUACCUAUUAGUGGGGGACAACUUAGGGAAACUUAAGCUAAUACCGCAUACGCCCUACGGGGGAAAGAAGGGGAUCGCAAGACCUUUUGCUAAUAGAUGAGCCUGCGUAGGAUUAGCUAGUUGGUGGGGUAAAAGCUCACCAAGGCGACGAUCCUUAACUGGUUUGAGAGGAUGAUCAGUCACCCUGGAACUGAGACACGGUCCAGACUCGUGCGGGAGGCAGCAGUGGGGAAUAUUGGACAAUGGGCGAAGGCCUGAUCCAGCCAGGCCGCGUGUGUGAAGAAGGUCUUCGGAUUGUAAAGCACUUUAAGUCGGGAGGAAGGGCUGUAGGCUAAUACCUUGCAGUUUUGACGUUACCGACAGAAUAAGCACCGGCUAACUUCGUGCCAGCCGCCGCCGUAA